rnacentral:tRNA from 1 species
AGUUAUUUAGCUUAUAAAAAGCAUUUAUUUUGAAAAUAAAAGAAAGACUAAAUUUUAAUAGCUU